CCAAUAUAGAAUGUUUAUUGUACCAUAUCCCCUCUUCAUUCUAGCCCUGACAUCUUCCAGGAAAAAAAAAGUGCAACAUAUCAGCUUGAUGACAAAUGAGAAUGCCUCCCUUUGAAGUUUCUGAAAAUAAUGUGAAAGAUUAGGAAAACAGUACUGCCUCCCACUACAUUCUGUGUUUUCUUCCUCUCUUCUGCUGCAAGAGGGAUUUGUUUUACUAUUUCUCCACUGACAUCAGAGAUUAUGACAACAAACAUGGCCAGCCAUGGAUCAGAACGAUGGAGCACUUCAGAUCCAGGGCCUUUCUUGAGUUUUCUAGAGCAUGGAAGAUUGGCAUUCUGAAACACAAUGAGUCAAAAAUGUCAGUACUGAAGAUAUAUAUGUAUCAAAAGCUGCUGAAAAUAACUUCUAAAGACAUGGAUAAUUUUACUCUAUCUUGCUCACCUAGAAACACUGCGCACACUUUUGUUUUUGUAGUAACAUUUAAAGGACAUAUUUAAAAAGUUGAACAAAAAGUUUGAUAUCAGCACAGAAGCUGACUAUUUCUUCUAUUUCAGUUAGCCACAUGAACAAAUUCAAUUUUUAAACCCUCUCAUUCUCUGCAUUCUCCUUCUAAAGCAAUCACCACAUUUAUUCCUUACCAUUACACAGCGCUUUUUCUCUAACCCACUUGAAGGUUAUAGACCCAGCACUUGCCUAAAAGACGGAAAAAUCCAUCUGAUGUAUAUGGUAUUACUCUGUCCUUUACGUACCUAUUAUAGACUUCUUUGAUGUGGCUUUUUGUUCAGUAUUAGUGACCAUAUGAUUCUAUGGGUAUAACCUCAUUUGACCCUUGAUGCACUGACUCAAAAUAAGUUCAGAAAAAUCAUAAUUGUAAGAAAACUCAUUGAAUUCUGAAUGUGACAUGUUCACGCAUGUGAUUAUGAACAUAAGAAUCCUAAAGUAGUGACUAUGCUUCAAUAUAUG
rnacentral:lncRNA from 1 species